ACUCAGCAGAAAACCACACAGCAGCUUCAGCUGAGCUGUCAAUCAGCAGCAGCAGCCUUAUCUGUCCGCCGCAGGGGCUGAUGGGAGGUCUGAGGACCCGUUAGAAACCACGCGGCCCUCGUCUGAUCUCACAGCUCGUCCUUGUUUGGCCUCAGCUGCAUCAGAGCGCCACUUCUCCCCAGGUUCACCAGAGGAAACACCACUGCACACAAUGCUUUUCCUCCCAGCUGCUGCUCUGUGCUGUCUGUGUUCAGCGCUGGUUGCCAUGGCAGCAGAGCUGAUUCAGGAGGAUUUAACAUUGACCAGGGGAGUCGAUGAAACUGUUUCCUUCAGCUGUCAGAGAACUGACCAGUGUGACACUGAUUAUGUAUUCUGGUACCAGAAGAAAGACACAGACACAUUCAGAGUGAUUCUAGAUAUAACUAAGAGUAAUUGUCGCAUAGAUUCAAGUUACAGCAAUCAUCCUCAGAAAAAUGAUUUCUCUGCUGUGAGAAAUCAGAACGGCUGUGAGUUACAGCUCAAGAACGUUAAACUCUUUCAUUCAGCCACCUACUACUGCGCCUGUUAUAAGAGUGGUACCCACAGUGAGAAAUGAUCCGUGCAGCCUGAACAAAAAGCAGCAGAUGUCAAACAGUGUUUGUGACAGG